rnacentral:rRNA from 1 species
CCUACGGGAGGCAGCAGUGGGGAAUAUUGCGCAAUGGGCGAAAGCCUGACGCAGCGACGCCGCGUGAGGGAUGAAGGUCUUCGGAUCGUAAACUUCUGUCAGCAGGGAAGAACGGUCACUGUGUUAAUCAGCUGCGCAUUGACGGUACCUGCAAAGGAAGCACCGGCUAACUCCGUGCCAGCAGCCGCGGUAAUACGGAGGGUGCGAGCGUUAAUCGGAAUUACUGGGCGUAAAGCGCACGUAGGCGGUAUGUUAAGUCAGAGGUGAAAUCCCCGGGCUCAACGUGGGAACUGCAUUUGAAACUGGCAAGCUGGAGUGUGGGAGAGGAGAGUAGAAUUCCAGGUGUAGGAGUGAAAUCCGUAGAUAUCUGGAGGAACAUCAGUGGCGAAGGCGACUAUCUGGCACAUGACUGACGCUGAGGAGCGAAAGCGUGGGGAGCAAACAGGAUUAGAUACCCGGGUAGUC